GGUGAAGGUUCACCUCUCACACACACUCCCCAUCCCGUGUCAUGGCCUGGGGGGCGCUGUUGGUCACUCAGAGCCCCAGGCUGACCCAGGCGCCUCUAUUUGUAUUUUCACGGUCACCGGAGCUGUGGGAAGUCACGCAGCGGCUCUGCAGUUCCUCCCAGAACCGGCACCUGUCCCGUGUCUUUGGCCAAAGCAAGUCACGAGGGUCCGGAAGACAUUUGGGGAACAGCUCCGUGUUACCCUGUUCCUGAGACACCCUGUGUCUGUGCCCCCCCCCCCCCCCCCGCCGUGCCCUGGUUCUCUGCUGCGCCCCUCCCUACGUGCCGUUGGCUACAGCUAGUUGCUUGUUAUUUCCUUCUCCCCCUAAAAUCUAGGCCCCCGGAGGGCGGGCUCUGUCUGCUUCUGUUCGCUACUAUACUGCAGCACUUAGAACACUGCCUGGUAUACAGUAGGCACUCAAUUAACAUUUAGUCGAGUCGAUCAUAGUAGGAUGGAGAGUUAAUGUCUAAGGAUGCUUACUGGGGGUGGGCACCAUGCUGAGUGCUGUUCGUGGGUCGACUCCUUCAUCCCUAUCUCGGGCCUAGGGGGAGGCAGGGCUGCCGUGACCCCCGUUUUCCACGCAUGGACACUGAGGCUCAGAGGGGUCAAGACACUUGCCCGAGGCCACACAGCAAGUUAGUGGGCAGAGCCAGCCUCCUGACCUCUGAGAGGUCCCGCUGGGCCCAACUCCGUGUGAUCGGGGUGGAGAGUCACCGCACCGGCUGGAUGUCCUGUGUGUGCGGGGACGGGGCCGCGGGAGCACGUGCAGAAGGCAGGGUCACAGUGGCAGUGGCUUCGUCUUUAUCGCUCGCCGGGUACUGCGCUUAGUGGGGCACAUCCCAUUUCAUGCUUGCGAACCCCCCCUCCGCUCCUUCCUGGCCCCUCUCACCUGCGUGAGACUGUGACUAGGAGCCUCCGUUUGCCCAUCUGUAGAGUGGGGGUGACCAUCGUAGCUGCCUGACGGGGUUGUGAGGCUAAAAUGCACCGACAGCGUGAAGUGUUCGAUACACGGGAGGAAUCCCGGUUUCUGAGACCUCGUAGUGGCACCGAGCGUCCGUCCUAAAACAUUCGGCGUCUGCAGGAGUCGGCACGUUCAUUGCCUCGCUGUUUGCAAAAGCAAGAACGUUGCAAACACUCAAAUAUUCUCCGGUACUUGGUGGACUCGACCAGCGUUUUCCAGACACACAGCGGAAACGCGGGAGGCCGAUGGUGGGCACGGGUACCAGCUGGGUACGCUUCGGGGGGAAAGCCGCGUGUGUCCCAUAAUCCCACUUCAGUAGAUUAUACUUUUGCCUUCUGUAUUACACAUUUCUGAAAUGUUUAAACGGUUUAUUUUAUUUCUUUUUUUCACAGAGAGAGAGUGAGCUGGGGGGUGAGGGAACAGAGGGAAGGAGAGGAAGAGAAUCCCAAGCAGGCUCCCCACUCAGCACAGAGCGUGACGCGGGGCUCAGUCUCGCGACCCCGGGAAUCACGACCUGAGCCGAGAUCAAGAGUCGGGCGCUCAACAGACUGUACCUCCCAGCCGCCCCUGUUUGGGUUUUUUUUGUUUUUUUUUUUUUAAGGUAGGGAUUAUCUUGUAGUGAGGGCAAAUGGGAAAGUGUUGUGAGCCUCACAUCAUGCAAGUCAGUGAGGACCUGGGUAUUGAAACUACCUUGAAAACUACCUCUCUUUAUUAGGGCGGGAAGCCUUUCCCGCAAGCUGACGGUACGCAGGCCCCUGAGUCUCAUCUGCCAGGAUGGGGCAUCAGCCAGACCAGAGUCUGAGUUUGUGCUCAUAUUGACCUACAUUCUCAUCACAACUCAAAGAUGAUGAUGUUAAUAUUCACAGUGAAAGCAGUAGUAAUAAUGACAAUUAACGUUUACUGAGUGCUCACCCUGUGCCAGGACCUGUUCUCAACCCUUUAGAUGCAUCAUCUCAUUUAAUCCUUCAACAGCCUAUGAGGUAGGUAGGUAGCCACGCCCAUCUUACAGAUAGAGAAACUGAGGCCCAGAGAGAUUGAUAAUUUGCCCGAGGUCACACAGCUAAUAAGCGGCAGAAGUUGGUGAGGACCCAGGCACUCCAGCCACAGAGCCUUUGCGAGGAGCCCCCAGACCUGGAGUGAACUGUGUCUGCAUCUGGGAGGCUGGGCUACUCUGAGGGAGGUUUUCUUGUUUCUGCUCCCAUCUGCCGCAUCUCGAAUGGACCUUUUAUUUACUUACUCAUUUGUUUUCAUGUUUAUUUAUUUAUUUUUGAGAAAGAGAGAAAGAGAGGACAGGGGAGGGGCAGAGAGAGAAGGAAAGGCGGAAUCCCAAGCAGGUUCCGCACCGUCAGCGCAGAGCGCGACGCGGGGCUCGAACCCACGAACCGUGAGAUCAUGACCUGAGCCGGACUUAAGCGUCGGAUGCCCAACCGACUGGGCAACCCAGGCGCCCCUUGAAUGAAUCUGUUAAACGAGAUGCCCCAUCCACCCCUUAUCCGACGCAGCAGCAACGGAAGCCGUUGGUCACCGGAAGGCUCGUGGUUGUGGGGCCAUCACCUGCGAGGUUGUCCACCCAGAUGUGGUGACUGCUCUCCUCGGCCUGCCGCCCUGCUGCUCUCUUUCCAGAAUCUACCUUGUCUGGACCACAUGCUAAUGAGCUAACUGAGAAGGUCUGACUUACUGGCAGCGUUUCGUAAUGAAACCCACUUGCUCCAUAGAAGAGCUGGCACGGGCAAAGAGACCUGAGUGACAGGACCGUGUGUGGAUGCCAAGCGGCGUUGGGACCGUUUAGUUCAAGGGGUUGUCCGGGUGCCGGCACCACCUCCACACGCGCGACUAACGACCGCGCCAAAGCGUGUGGGUGUGGUUUUCGAGGUAGUCGGGAGACGCGGCGUGGGAGGCAGGGACGAGGGGCCGACUCCCCUCGGGCCACGGGGGACGGCCGCACCCCACGCGGACGAAGCGCCAGUGGGCUCAGCACCGGCCCGCGAGCGAGGGGAGCCUGGCGAUGCCCUUCCGAGGGGACCACGGUCAGACCUCCACGCCCCGCUUGCGCUGCUUGUAUUCGGCAGCGAAUCAAGAGUUGCCCAAAACAGCAGCAAUGAAGACUUUAAGAACCCCCCUCCCCUCCCCCCCAGCUCCCUGAAGGAAGUUGUCACAUCUGUGUGUGACGCCUAGAGCUGCAGCAGCAUCUUGUGACCGCGAGGGGACAGCCCCACCUGCGGUCGAUGGGGGAGAGCAAAAAGAGCCCGGACCCUGGAAGAGUUCCCAGGGACGCUGGUGCCGGGUGGGACCGCCUACCAGCGGCCGUCACAUUCGGCGAGAAAAAGCCACUUCCUCAUCGUUUGAUCCACUUCUAUGUAGGUAGUCUUUUAAUGUUUGUUUUUGAGAGAGAGAGAGAGCAAGAGAGAGAGAGAGAGCAAGAGAGAGCGCGUGAUUGCGGAAGAGGCAGAGAGAGAGGGAGACGGCAUCCCAAGCAGGCUUCUCGCUGUCAGCACAGGGCCACGGACAGUGAGAUCGUGGGCUGAGCCGAAAUCAAGAGUCAGAUGCUCAACCGACUGAGCCACCCAGGCCCCCGGUUUGAUCCACCUUCAGUCGACUGCCCCGGGCCCUCUUGUCAGACGUACUCUCGCCUACGGAACGGUCCCCGUGUCGCAGACCCACUGCGAGAAUUAAGUCAGGCGAGGAGGCUUGUGAAGCUCCGAGCCAGUCCCCCGUCCUGUGGUGUCGGAUACGCGUCAGCCCCACGUGGCUGGAACUCGAAGCCCUUCCACAUCGCCACCGCGAUGACACGAGGGAAGCUGAGGCACAGAGAGGGUGAGGAACUUGCCCCAGGCCCCCAGCAAGAACGCACCGGAGCUGGGGCUCGAACCAGGCCUGCGUCCCGAGCUCCAGCGCGAGACCGCCCUGCCCGGUCCCGUCCCCGGUGGAGGCACUCCUGUAGGACCCGCGAGCCCUGCACAGGGACCUCGCCCUCCGCUCCUGGACGUCCCCAGCUCAGAGCUUCCACUCGUGUCUCGCCUCCUCCCUGUGUCUGCUUGGUCCCGAGGCGCUCCCCGGGGAGGCGGGCAGAGCCAAAAAACCCUGGCUCGCCUGCCUUGCUAAUAGAACUAGAAUGUUCUUGUCGAGAUGGGUUUCUUUUGGGGAUGGCCAAGCAAGCCACGUACUCAGCUGCUAGAGGCAGAGGACAAACACGAUGUGUCAUCGGGGACUCGGCCACGGCAGCUGACACUUGUCCCUCGCUCUCCGGGGCCGGCUGUGCGAGGAGGAGACUGUUCUUAGGCCAAAUCCAGCAUCGCCGGGGGAGUUUUCAUAAUUGCUGAUCACUCCGGGCUUCCCUCCCACGUUCCUGUCACUUCCCUUCUUCUCCCGAGGGGACUCGCAGGGUCAGCUUGCAGACCUCAGUCGCUGGGACGUCACAGCCCCUCACCCUGUGGGGAGGGGGCCCUGGCGGUCUUCUCUGCUCCCUUGACAUCUCCUGCUUCAGGGAAUCCCACAGACUGGGCGGAAUCUGUGUCAGAAAGCGUUUCUGUUUGCUCUUGAACAUGAUCCCCGGCUCUCUGUGGGUUUCCUUGGCCAGCGUCAACCUGGAGGGCCGGUUCCCUCUGGAGCGCUAGACCCGGACACUAGUAACAUCGCCUCCGAGCUCCCUCGGGGCUGCAGCGAAGGGAGAGAAGCCGGGAGGCGGCCGCUGGGUCCCAUCAGCCACGGCGCCGCGGCCCGCGGGCGCGGGUGCGGGUGACAGCAUCCUGCAGGACGCGGCUCGUGUGCCUUAUGACUCAGUGUGGGAGAUAAUUGCACACAGAUCUGUUUUCUUUUUCUCCUUAUCUGGUUAUCUGCAGCUCCAAGAUACCCACCCUUCCCUGCACGAUUUGCCAUCAGGCAAAUGUCUGUUUUGUUGUGUGCUUGUAAAUCCCUGUGUUGAUUUUCUCACUGCGUCCAGCCGCUGUGGCUUGUGGCGGGGAGGGGCACGUCUGCAUUUUGGCCCCCUUGGACAUCCCGUCUUGGGGGUCUAGCUUCUUCUGUGCUAGUCACAGAUGGAUGACAUCAUAUUUUGGGUUGUGCCGAUAUUUGACGACUCAAGAGUAGGCGGAAUACAGGAUUCCAGGUGGGCGGCUGGGGGCUGGGGGCCCCCGUCCUCACGUGGUGCCUUAGGCUGUGAAAGCCAGAGCGAGCAGGUGUGGUCUAAGGAUUCUGCCUCCUGGGUCAACCCCAUCAACCGUCUCUCUCUCUCUCUAUCGCCAUUUCAAGCCCCCUCGUAUAACUUUCCCUGCUACGAGAUGGCACUGAAUUUGACCAGAGUGUGACCAAGUCACAAAUACAUUCCCUCUGGAAAUGUCCUCACUGUGCCUCUCCUUCUAGAAAGUCCACUUUUUCAAACAAACCAGAAGUCAUUCCCUUUUCAGCUCCUGUCUUUCUCCCGUCCUUCGGGCUGUUGGUUCGUUUUUUUCUUCCUACCGCCAGUUGGCAUUAGAUCCCAUCUGAUCGUGCCUCUGACUUCCGGUUUGCUGCGGUUUCCUCCCACCGCGAUGGCAGCAUGGGGACAGAUGCAAACCUGAUGGGUGCUCCGCCCUCUGUGUCGAGAACUGUACCCCCGGGCAGUGCAGGAACUCAACCGGUACUUGGGGAUCCAUUGCAUGGAGCCACUCACUAAAUGCGAAUCGGUGACAGUCCCGUGGUGCACGUGGGGCACCGAGGUCAACUGUGACGAGUUGGGGACGGGUGAGGUGCUGUGCUGUAUACGUGUUGCACACCCGUGACCGUGUUGAACGGGGGGGGGGGGGGGCGCCGGGGCAGUCAGCGAGCGGGGCUCUGCGGUCCUUCCGUCUGGGUUCAAUUCUGGCCCCAGUUCCCGGUACAUCCCUGCCCUUGGGCAGGUUGCUCAGGCCCCUCUGGGUCAAUUUCCUCAUCUGUAAAUCCCCCCCGUCCGGGGAUGAUGUUAGUACCUAUCUCACCGGGACGUUGUCCAGAUUAAAUAAGGUAAUGCGUGCAGCUCACUUAAAAGGUGCUCCGUGCGGGGUGUGGGCUCAGCAAAGACAGCCGUUACUAAUCCUUACAGCAGCCCUACUAAGCGGGAACCACUAUGAUCCCGACUUAGCGGACUGGGAAACUAAGCAAGCUCAUAAGCUGACGGAGCGAAACAACACCCACCCUGUGCUCGGCGAGUCUGCGUUUAAUAUGGGACAAACGCACAAAAAACUCGGCUCUGCAUCGCAUUGUGCUUAAGAAAAGAAAAGAAAAGAAAAGAAAAA